GACAGAGGCCCCAAGCGUUAGGCGGAAUCACUGGGCUUAAAGCGUGUGUAGGCGGAUCGUUAAGUGUCUUGUGAAAUCCCACGGCUCACCCGUGGAACGGCUGGGCAUACUGGCGAUCUUGGGCCAACUAGGGGCAGUCGGAACAAGCGGUGGAGCGGUGAAAUGCGUAGAGAUUGGAAAGAACACCGAUGGCGAAGGCACUUUACUGGGCUAUUACUAACACUCAGAGACGAAAGCUAGGGUAGCAAAUGGG
rnacentral:rRNA from 1 species